CAGAAGCCAGUGGAUUUUGAGAUACAUCCAUUGGUAAAAUACUCAUCAUGGGCGUUGCUUGAUUCUACCCCUGAGAUACCAACACGGAAGGGUGGUCUAUACGCACUUGGCUGCCACAGGAGAGAGAGGACGGUAGAGGAAAAGAAAAUAUAAGAACAGAAAGCUGAAGGAACCUGCUUACUAUUGGAAAGGUAAGAUACUAAAAGAUGAAAUUCAAAGCUCAAGAGUUUCCCAAUACAGCAUAUUCUGGGAAUGAGCUCAACUUUCAAACUCUGCCCUCAGUGACAAUAGAGUCUGCUCUUUUUAUAACUUAAAUUUUCUUUCCAAGACCUUUUCAUCUUAACUAGAGUCCACCACCAAAGACAAGACUAUGAAUAGUAUUAGAAUAGUAAAGGACACAAAAAUACAUUUUUGCCAUGGUACACACUCUUCCCCAAAUUUUUUAAGUACUGAAGGAAAAAAAAACAAACAAACCUGACAAUGUAAUAACCAAAUAUAUGGAUGACAUAUUAUUCAUUUUAUAGAAAACUUUUCUCAGCCCCACUUCACUGUUACAUUGUUUAUCAAGAUUCAAAAUAACUGUGGCAUUAACCACCAUCAACAAUGACUUCACCUAUCCUUUCACCUACAUUCUCUUACUAUACAGCCAAGAAAUAAGGCAACGAUUAUUAUUCUAUUUGCCACAUGAGCACCCCAACUCAGGGUAAGUGGCCAACAAUAUGGAACUUGAAACACUUCUGAAGCCAUGCUUUUUCUACCUUAUGCUGAAAACCUCUGCUUUCCUUCACUCAUUCAAAACAAAAUAACAGUUAAUGGAAUAAACCUUCAUACCUGCUGUGAUCAAGUAAGCU